GGCCUAUUAGGGGAGUCUGGUCGUCCCUGCCUCACUGUCUAUGAGGAGAUCCUCGGUUCGAAUCCGUGAUAGGCCGCCA
rnacentral:tRNA from 2 species